CGAGAGCUCCAAGUGGGC
rnacentral:snRNA from 1 species